UAAUCAACACUUUGUUUUAUUCUUGAGUAGAUCCUUCAAUGCCUAUCAAUUCAAGGGCUAACAUCAUCUGGAGGCAGUAACUCUGGUAGUGUAGAUGGACAGAAUAGUAGUGGAGUUUCAAGAUCGAUUGUGAAAGACAGGUUUAAGAUAUUCAAUGUGCAGUUUGAAGAGCUUCAUCAACGGCAAACUCAAUGGACUGUUCCAGAUACUGAGUUGCGAGAGUCAUUGAGGCUUGCGGUCGCUGAAGUUUUGCUGCCUGCAUACAGAUCUUUCAUUAAACGCUUUGGGCCUUUAGUUGAGAGUGGUAAAAACUCCCAAAAGUACAUCAGAUAUUCAGCUGAAGAUCUUGACCGUAUGCUUGGUGAAUUCUUUGAGGGUAAGACGUUAAAUGAGCCCAAACGGUGAACCUCAGCUAGCCACUUUUGAGGUCAGCUAUGCUCUCUGCACUAUCCUCUCCUCUGCCAUUGCUGAUAUAGUUGCUACAUGGUUGAGUUCUUGCACCAAAUUGGUGGCAGCAUUAUGGUUCUCCAUUCACUACUCUAUGUUCAGGAUCAACAGGAUUUGCAAUAAAAAGUGAAAAAUAAAAAGAGCAAGCUGUAUAGAGAAGUUCACUUAUAUUUGGAUACGGAACCUGUCCAAGUAUUAUGGUUUGUCAAAUCUCGUGUCCAAAAAUGCCGUGCUUCUGUUAAGGUCGUGUUGUAGUCAACAUAGCUUGUGUGGUUUUGUAUAGCAAACUGUUUUGAUAUUCUCUCUUGGGAGCUCUUUUUUGGUCCUAAGGUUCAGAGUUUUUCUUGGCUAGUCUAUAUUUGACAAUGAUUCAACAAUUUAAUGAUAAUGUUAGUAUUAUGCCAUUUAAUUACUCAUAUGCUUGGUCACUGAGUUGAGUCUGAACCUACUUGAGGUGAAUGAGCUUUUUCCACCCCAGCUUGAAAGGCGGC